CCUGGUUAACGAUUGGGCAACAAGAGGCGUCAGUCCCCACUUCAGGCGUCUCGGCCAGUUCCUAAAAAUACUCGGGCGCUAAGGACGACGGGCUAUCUUUAGGUACCAAACUUCUUCAUCAGGUCCUGAAAACACACGGCCACAAAGGACAAUUGGCAAUUUCAGACACAGUCGGGCGCCCAGGAUGACAGGUUUUCAGACUCUGUCUUACUGUAUCUUGUGGUUCACCAAACUCACG
rnacentral:lncRNA from 1 species